rnacentral:rRNA from 1 species
CGGGUGGCUGCAGCAGUGGGGAAUAUUGGACAAUGGGGGAAACCCUGAUCCAGCAAUGCCGCGUGUGUGAAGAAGGCCUGCGGGUUGUAAAGCACUUUCGGUUGGGAGGACUGCUUCUAGCACUAAUAUUGUUGGAAGUUGACGUUACCUUCAGAAGAAGCACCGGCUAACUCCGUGCCAGCAGCCGCGGGUAAUACGGAGGGUGCAAGAGUUAAUCGGAAUUACUGGGCGUAAAGCGCGCGUAGGCGGCUAGAUCAGUCGGGUGUGAAAGCCCCGGGCUUAACCUGGGAACUGCAUCCGAUACUGUCUAGCUUGAGUACAGGAGAGGAGAGUGGAAUUCCACAUGUAGCGGUGAAAUGCGUAGAUAUGUGGAGGAACACCAAUGGCGAAGGCAGCUCUCUGGCCUGAUACUGACGCUGAGGUGCGAAAGCGUGGGGAGCAAACAGGAUUAGAUACCCGGGUAGUC